UACGUAGGGUGCAAGCGUUAAUCGGAAUUACUGGGCGUAAAGCGUGCGCAGGCGGUUAUGUAAGACAGAUGUGAAAUGCCCGGGCUUAACCUGGGAACUGCAUUUGUGACUGCAAGGCUAGAGUUUGGCAGAGGGGGGUAGAAUUCCACGUGUAGCAGUGAAAUGCGUAGAUAUGUGGAGGAAUACCGAUGGCGAAGGCAGCCCCCUGGGUCAAGACUGACGCUCAUGCACGAAAGCGUGGGGAGCAAACAGG
rnacentral:rRNA from 1 species